CAGCAGCCGCCGCGGGAAUACGUAUGUCACAAGCGUUAUCCGGAUUUAUUGGGCGUAAAGCGCGUCUAGGUGGUUAUGUAAGUCUGAUGUGAAAAUGCAGGGCUCAACUCUGUAUUGCGUUGGAAACUGUGUAACUAGAGUACUGGAGAGGUAAGCGGAGCUACAAGUGUGGAGGUGAAAUUCGUAGAUAUUUGUAGGAAUGCCGAUGGGGAAGCCAGCUUACUGGACAGAUACUGACGCUGAAGCGCGAAAGCGUGGGUAGCAAACAGGAUUAGAUACCCGGGUAGUCCCUGUCUCUUAUACA
rnacentral:rRNA from 1 species